rnacentral:lncRNA from 1 species
UUAAAUCAGUUUAGGACGAUUAAAAAAAAAAAACACAGUAACACCCUUUUCUCUUCUUUCCCAAGUCGAUCAUUAUCUAUAGUCAUCGGUGACUAUAAUUCUGGGGUUCAAAUUCUGCCGGCGACGACAAAUUCCUCCGGCCAACCAUGGUCGCCGGCGACCACAUAAUCGACGUGGUCACGACCCAAAUGGACUGAGAGAGACAGAGAAAUCGGAACAGAAGUACCAAACCAUGACACAUGAUAAUAAAUACAAGGGAAGAAAGGAGUAGAAGAAUCUAGGGCAAUAUAUAAUAAUAGAAACAAAAGACAAGUGCACCACUAUAUAACUUUAUAACUUAAUCUCAAACAUAAUAACAACGGAGAUAUUCAAAAUUAAAAAAAUAAAAUAAACAUAUGCUAAAACACACGUGGAUAGUGUGGGUGGUACGAGUAGGUGGUGAAUAUUGCUAAGAACUAGGAAGGUUGAUGAUGAGAUAUGAGGAAUAAUUUGGUGUGUUCAUCCACUAGCUCCAAGUCCUGCGAGCAAAAGACUUUUUAAUAGUGGGUAAUGGUGUUCCAGCCCUAGAGGUUGAAGCAUCAGAAACACUAGGAGGAUUGUUUGGUUUGGUAUAGUAGCAAAAGUCUUUCAUGGUAAAGGUGCGUGCUUGCUGUUGCUGGCUUGAAGAAUCAGAAUCCUUAGGAGGAAUAUUGCUUGGUUGGGAGUAAUAGCAAACAUCUUUCAUGGUAAACUUGCGUUCUUGUUUCUGGGUAGUUUCUGUAUGAGAGGAACUAGUACCUUUGUUGGAUCGAUUUUUUGGGUAAAAAAUUUUCUUUGCGUCGGCCAUUGAUGCUAUAAUUAAUUAAGCAAGAGCUAAAGAGAGGAAAAAGAUUGUAAUUAGAAGAAGGCCAAGUAAUAAUAUUUAUAAGGACAAUCCGAAGAUUCUAGAUUUAAUUUGCCAUCCC